AAAGUACUCCCUCCGUCCCAAAAUUCUUGUCUUAGAUUUGUCUAGAUACGAAUGUAUCAAGUCACAUUUUAGUAUUAGAUACAUCCGUAUCUAGACAAAUCUAAGACAAGAAAUUUGGGACAGAGGGAGUAGUUG
rfam:Triticum aestivum genome assembly, contig: Triticum_aestivum_CS42_TGACv1_scaffold_227514_3B